GAAAAAGAUGCAAGAACAAUCCAUGGUUUGGUGAGCUAGGCUGUUGAUCCAAGCUUGCUACGGAUGUGCUGCAAACAAAUCAUUAAGAAAUUGCUGCAACAAUAUUCCAUGUAUGCAACAAUAAGACUUUCUACAAACUGGUAGAAGUCUAAUGCCAAAGAAAUCUGUGUACACGAAUCCUUAACUUCAGGUCCUUCUCAUGCUAUUGACAUAACAAGGGAGAUACACAUUUUCCUUGAAAGUAUGAUACAUGAGCCUAGUUCAUUUUUUUCAAAUUCCAUGUAUGAUAGUGAUGUUAAUUUUUUGUUUUUGUGUUACCAUUUUACAUUUGAACCAUGACCAUAUGCAAUCUGAGGUGUGGGGAGGCUCAUGAGGUUCCUUGGAGAUCUUUCUCAAUUGUCUCUAGCAUCCCCGGAUUAAGCUGAGAAAAUGACCUUUGUAUGCAAGGUUGGUCAACUUGUGCACAAUGUGUAUCAAUCAUUUACUUUGUGCUUCCACAAAAAUUGGACACAUGCCAUGAUGGUUUGUGAUCUGAAUUUUUGGUGAGGAAACUUGUUUGACAGUCAUGUUGAAGGUGAUACUUUUGUCCUUCUGUAUCAUACGUAUGCAACUGAUGCUUGAUGUGGAAAUUUGGGCCUUUUGAACCUUCCCUAAUUGCAUAAGUGGCUGAACCAGCUCUGUAUGUUACACAUAAUUUGUCAUCCACUAGUUCCUGUAAAUGAAGAUAAGAGGAUUGAUCUUAACAGUAUGGUCGUCAUGCACAUAGACAGAAAAUGCUUGCAA